UGGGGAAUAUUGGACAAUGGGGGAAACCCUGAUCCAGCAAUGCCGCGUGUGUGAAGAAGGCCUUCGGGUUGUAAAGCACUUUUAUCGGGAACGAAACGUUGUCGGUUAAUACCCGGCAAAACUGACGGUACCCGAGGAAUAAGCACCGGCUAACUCCGUGCCAGCAGCCGCGGUAAUACGGAGGGUGCAAGCGUUAAUCGGAAUUACUGGGCGUAAAGCGUGCGCAGGCGGUUUUGUAAGCCAGAUGUGAAAUCCCCGGGCUUAACCUGGGAAUGGCAUUUGGGACUGCAAGGCUGGAGUGCGGCAGAGGAGACUGGAAUUCCUGGUGUAGCAGUGAAAUGCGUAGAUAUCAGGAGGAAUACCGAUGGCGAAGGCAGGUCUCUGGGCUGACACUGACGCUCAUGCGCGAAAGCGUGGGGAGCAAAC
rnacentral:rRNA from 1 species